AUUGAACGCUGGCGGCAUGCCUUACACAUGCAAGUCGAACGGCAGCACGGGAGCAAUCCUGGUGGCGAGUGGCGAACGGGUGAGUAAUAUAUCGGAACGUGCCCGGUCGUGGGGGAUAACGUAGCGAAAGCUACGCUAAUACCGCAUACGAUCUACGGAUGAAAGCGGGGGAUCGCAAGACCUCGCGCGAUUGGAGCGGCCGAUAUCAGAUUAGGUAGUUGGUGAGGUAAAGGCUCACCAAGCCGACGAUCUGUAGCUGGUCUGAGAGGACGACCAGCCACACUGGGACUGAGACACGGCCCAGACUCCUACGGGAGGCAGCAGUGGGAAUUUUGGACAAUGGGCGCAAGCCUGAUCCAGCAAUGCCGCGUGCAGGAUGAAGGCCUUCGGUUGUAAAC
rnacentral:rRNA from 1 species